rnacentral:rRNA from 1 species
GAUGAACGCUAGCUACAGGCUUAACACAUGCAAGUCGAGGGGAAACGACAUCAAAAGCUUGCUUUUGAUGGGCGUCGACCGGCGCACGGGUGAGUAACGCGUAUCCAACCUGCCCACCACUUGGGGAUAACCUUGCGAAAGUAAGACUAGUACCCAAUGACGUCUCUAGAAGACAUCUGAAAGAGAUUAACGAUUUAUCGGUGAUGGAUGGGGAUGCGUCUGAUUAGCUUGUUGGCGGGGUAACGGCCCACAAAGGAGACGAUCAGUAGGGGUUCUGAGAGGAAGGUCCCCCACAUUGGAACUGAGACACGGUCCAAACUCCUACGGGAGGCAGCAGUGAGGAAUAUUGGUCAAUGGGCGAGAGCCUGAACCAGCCAAGUAGCGUGCAGGAUGACGGCCCUAUGGGUUGUAAACUGCUUUUAUAAGGGAAUAAAGUGAGUCUCGUGAGACUUUUUGCAUGUACCUUAUGAAUAAGGACCGGCUAAUUCCGUGCCAGCAGCCGCCGUAA